UGACAAACUGUUUUUUUUUUUACAUGGUCCGUCAUUUCUCGGGAUUUAACGAACAAUAGUUUUUCCAGUUUGUUUGUGUCUGUGGGUGAGGGAACCAAUGGGUGUGCCUGAGUCUCAUCACCUCUCAACCAGGGAAGCUGUUUCAACCUGGAACACUAUUAUCCUGCGUUGGUCUUUCAGUCAUUGCAGGAAGUCCUGAAGAUCAGCAGUUGUCCCGAUCCUGCCCAAACACCUGACUUAAACAAUCAACAUAACGAAUCACAGCGAUAGGCUAUGAUUUGUAAUCCGGUAUGAGCUGGAACGAAAGCUUGUACACACUCCUGCCAUUCAGAUCUGGAGCUAUCCACCCUGUUCCCAGCAUGCAGGACCCAUUGAUUACAGGGUAUUGAUUAGCUAAACAAGCAAGUCUGUUUGUUUUGUUACCAAGGCAACUACUGUAGCUGUCUAGCAAAAUUGCUAGCUACUUCAGUGUAUUUUGAACACAUUUCUAGCGGUAAAUGUGUUAAAUUAUAGCCGUGGUAUAAAUAGUGCGUUGUGAAACACAUCUACCAUGUUGUUGAUUAUUUUCCAUAGAACGCACAGCCCCUCGUUGAUUAUCCCUUACAUAAUGCAUGUGCCAAUCUCAAGUUGAAGUUGAACUUGUUGACUGAUGCCCAGGCGGUGGCUGCUAAGAAGAAGAAAUGAAUAGCUGCUGACCAGAAGACUGCAGUGAAGGGAGCACUGGUCCACACCUGCCCUGUCUGUCAGCCUCAAUUUAUCAGGACAUGGACUCUACAAGGUGUCAGAACAGCCUCAAUUCAUCAGGACAUGGACUCUACAAGGUGUCAGAAUAGCCUCAAUUCAUCAGGACAUGGACUCUACAAGGUGUCAGAACAGCCUCAAUUCAUCAGGACAUGGACUCUACAAGGUGUCAGAACAGCCUCAAUUCAUCAGGGUAUGGACUCUACAAGGUGUUGAAAGCGUUCCACAGGGAUGCUGGCUCAUGUUGACUCCAAUGCUCCCCACAUUUGUGUCAAGUUGGCUGAAUGUCUUUUGGGUGGUGGACCAUUCUUGAUACAUGCAUGAAAAACCCAGCAGCGUUGCAGUUCUUGACACAAACCAGUACACCUGGCACCUACUAUCAAGCCAAGUUGAAAGGUGCUUCAAUCUUUUGUCUUGCCCAUUCACACUCUGAAUUGCACACAUACUGUACACAAUCCAUGUCUCAAUUGUCUCAGGGCUUAAAAAUCCUUCUUUAACAUGUCUCCUCCCCUUCAUUGAAGUGGAUUUUACAGGUGAUAUCAAUAAGGGAUCAUUGCUUUCACCUGGUCAGUCUAUGUCAUGGAAAGAGCAGGUGUUCUUAAUGUUUUGUCUACCCAGUGUAUGUUAUGUAUAAAAGUCAUAUGUGUGCAUUGUUUAGUAUUUUGAUUUCUUUAAAACAAUGUCAUUGUUGGAGUUCAGAUGUUUGACGUGAUUGUUGGGUGACUAGGUGGGUUCUUAUCAAAUAAAUAUGCCUAAUUCAUUCUGCAAAGGGUUAAUCUGGUUUGACAGAACAUGUCAACAAGUUAGUUCUGAAUUGCUUUAAAUACAGCAGUGCAUUCUGACACCAUGAAUUGAAAUAGAAUUCACCUCGUUCAUAUAGUUGGCAGAAAUGACAAGGGAUUAAAUAUAGACCACUGGCGGAAGGAGGAGAGGAUCUGGUCAAAUAAGGGUAUGUUGCUAAUAAUCAGCUAGGUAUCUAGCUCGCUAUAUAGCUUCUUUGCAACAAAAAAAACAAGCCUAGUUUUCAUGUCACAUUAUAAAUGUCUGACUUGUCGCUAGGAUAGUAUUCUGUACAAGACACAAGACUAAAUACAUAAAUAAGACAAAUAUUAUUAGUUAAAGAAAAUAUGGAACAAUAAAUGCAAAUGUUCAAUA
ensembl:lncRNA